GCCCGAAAUGUCGACUGCACCUCUUCCUAGAGAUGCUGUCUGGCCUGCUGCAUUCACCAGCAACUUUGAUGUGUGUUGGUUGAAUUAACUGACAGUUGUUCCUCCCUCUUCCGAACCCUCAUGGAACUGAGGCUAAAACACAACAACUAGAUAUCCGCAGCAUAACCUGCAGAUGCGUCUGUUUUUUGUUCUCAUCCAUGCUAAACACUGACAUCUAGUGGUGGGUGCCCAUUUGGAAAUAGUGUCCGUCUCAGAGCAAACGUUGUUGGGAAAACAUUUCGGACCAUGGUUGGGACCCUCCCCACUUGCAGCAGACCCACUGCUUGUGGCCCACUCUGCAGCAGUAAGGCCAGCAGGAGGCUGGGAGUUGUAAGGCUACAAAAGGCUGCCAGCUAAAGAAAAUGAACUAUUGCUUUCCCUGGAGCCCUGUACGUUGGAUGUCCACAACACUUAGAACCCCACAGAGAAGCAACAAAAAGCUCCAUCAUCACUCAGGCACGGAGAUGUUAAUUCUCACAUCGCCGCUGGAAUGAAAUUCACUUGUCAGCUUCUCAAAAUACUGAUAAACCCAUUGAACC